rnacentral:rRNA from 1 species
UAGGGAAUCUUCGGCAAUGGGGGCAACCCUGACCGAGCAACGCCGCGUGAGUGAAGAAGGUUUUCGGAUCGUAAAGCUCUGUUGUAAGAGAAGAACGUGUGUGAGAGUGGAAAGUUCACACAGUGACGGUAACUUACCAGAAAGGGACGGCUAACUACGUGCCAGCAGCCGCGGUAAUACGUAGGUCCCGAGCGUUGUCCGGAUUUAUUGGGCGUAAAGCGAGCGCAGGCGGUUUAAUAAGUCUGAAGUUAAAGGCAGUGGCUUAACCAUUGUUCGCUUUGGAAACUGUUAAACUUGAGUGCAGAAGGGGAGAGUAGAAUUCCAUGUGUAGCGGUGAAAUGCGUAGAUAUAUGGAGGAACACCGGUGGCGAAAGCGGCUCUCUGGUCUGUAACUGACGCUGAGGCUCGAAAGCGUGGGGAGCAAACAGG